rfam:Ruminococcus lactaris ATCC 29176 Scfld_02_7 genomic scaffold, whole genome shotgun sequence.
UGAUGUCAGGGUCAAAAGGUCUGACACCACGUGUGCCUGCACACUGGUGGUAGAAUGACCUUGAGGCCCGCCCCGAUAUGAGCAUAAAAGUGGGGCGUAAGCACCAUGAUAUGCGAAUAGCGGGUAGGAUUGUGGGAGUGCGUAGCACGAAACAAUCCGUUGGCAUCA